rnacentral:rRNA from 1 species
AUGACUUCAGCUCUCCGGCGAAAGGCGGCGCAGAUGGCUUCCGCGGCAGCGGCGGGGACGGGGUGCUACUCGCAGACGUCCUGGGCGCUGCGACGCCUUGGCGCCGGAGGCGGCGCCCUCGCAUCGGCGGCCACCCGCAGGAGGAACUGCUCCGUCUCCGCGGCCGCCGUCUUCGACAACCAGAACCGCGAGUACGUGAUCGUGGGCGGCGGGAACGCGGCGGGCUACGCGGCCAGGACGUUCGUCGAGCAUGGCAUGGCCGACGGCCGCCUCUGCAUCGUCUCCAAAGAGGCUGUUCCACCAUACGAGCGACCGGCACUGACCAAAGGCUAUCUGUUUCCACCAGAAAAGAAGCCGGCACGCCUACCUGGAUUCCAUACCUGUGUUGGAUCUGGUGGCCAGAGGCAGACUGCCGAAUGGUACAAGGAGAAUGGCAUAGAGGUGCUGUAUGAGGAUCCAGUUGAAGCAUUUGAUGGCAAAACACAGACCUUGAAAACUUCAUCAGGGAAAAUUCUGAAGUAUGGGUCACUUAUCAUUUCUACUGGUUGUGCAGCUGCAAGACUACCUGAGAAAAUUGGAGGAGACUUACCUGGAGUUCACUAUAUACGUGAUGUUGCUGAUGCUGAUUCUCUAGUAUCUUCAUUGGGAAAAGCAAAGAAAAUUGUUGUUAUUGGUGGGGGCUAUAUUGGCAUGGAGGUGGCUGCUGCAGCUUGUGGCUGGAAUCUUGACACAACUAUAAUAUUCCCAGAAGAUCACAUAAUGCCAAGAUUGUUUACGCCUUCCCUUGCUAAGAAGUAUGAGGAACUGUAUGAGCAAAAUGGCGUCAAAUUCGUAAAGGGAGCUCUUAUUGACAAACUUGAUGCUGGCUCUGAUGGAAGGGUGUCUUCAGCUAUACUUAAAGAUGGUUCUGUUGUUGAAGCUGAUACAGUUAUUGUUGGUAUAGGAGCAAAACCAUCUGUCAGCCCCUUCGAAGCUGUGGGAGUUAACAUCGAAGUUGGUGGAAUAGAGGUUGAUUCCAUGUUUAGAACAAGUAUACCUAGCAUCUUUGCUAUUGGAGAUGUGGCAGCUUUUCCGCUCAAGAUGUAUGAUAGAAUAGCUCGAGUGGAGCAUGUGGAUCAUGCCAGAAAGUCUGCACAACAUUGUAUAGAAACACUCUUAACAUCCCAGGCAAAAGCGUAUGACUACCUUCCGUAUUUCUAUUCUCGAGUUUUUGAGUAUGAAGGAAGCUCCAGGAAAAUUUGGUGGCAAUUCUACGGAGAUAACGUUGGUGAAACAAUUGAAGUAGGGAACUUUGAUCCUAAGAUUGCUACCUUCUGGAUUGACUCUGAUAGUCGACUGAAGGGUGUUUUCCUUGAGAGUGGAACCUCAGAGGAAUUCUCGCUUCUUCCAAAGCUCGCGAGAUCACAGCCCAUUGUCGACAAAGCUAAGCUCAAGAGUGCGACUUCAGUCGAAGAUGCAUUAGAGAUUGCGAGAAGCUCUCUUUAG